rnacentral:lncRNA from 1 species
GCUGCUCCUAGUGCUCUCUGGAUUCUACUAUCGACUGACCUCCUACAAGGGUCAACCAUUCUCUGGACCCCUUCUGGAUCUUUUCCGACAGGAAUCGAUCGACUCCAAUCUGAAUUUCUUCCAGAACUACGUCAGUUCGCCAGUGGCCGAACUUUCCCAACAGUAGAUCUCCACGACGGACGGGCUCCAUCCAAGUUUCUACGACAGUCGACCGCCUUCUGGGUUUCAUCCGGGCUCCUACGAGAGCCGAACUCCUUCCCUAAACUCCUACUGCAGGCAGACUUCGUCCGAGCUCUUACGGGAGUCGGACUUCAGGCCUGAG